GACGAGUGGCGGACGGGUGAGUAAUGCUUGGGAACUUGCCUUUGCGAGGGGGAUAACAGUUGGAAACGACUGCUAAUACCGCAUAAUGUCUUCGGACCAAACGGGGCUUAGGCUCCGGCGCAAAGAGAGGCCCAAGUGAGAUUAGCUAGUUGGUAAGGUAACGGCUUACCAAGGCGACGAUCUCUAGCUGUUCUGAGAGGAAGAUCAGCCACACUGGGACUGAGACACGGCCCAGACUCCUACGGGAGGCAGCAGUGGGGAAUAUUGCACAAUGGGGGAAACCCUGAUGCAGCCAUGCCGCGUGUGUGAAGAAGGCCUUCGGGUUGUAAAGCACUUUCAGUUGUGAGGAAAAGUUAGUAGUUAAUACCUGCUAGCCGUGACGUUAACAACAGAAGAAGCACCGGCUAACUCCGUGCCAGCAGCCGCGGUAAUACGGAGGGUGCGAGCGUUAAUCGGAAUUACUGGGCGUAAAGCGCACGCAGGCGGUUUGUUAAGCUAGAUGUGAAAGCCCCGGGCUCAACCUGGGAUGGUCAUUUAGAACUGGCAGACUAGAGUCUUGGAGAGGGGAGUGGAAUUCCAGGUGUAGCGGUGAAAUGCGUAGAUAUCUGGAGGAACAUCAGUGGCGAAGGCGACUCCCUGGCCAAAGACUGACGCUCAUGUGCGAAAGUGUGGGUAGCGAACAGGAUUAGAUACCCUGGUAGUCCACACCGUAAACGCUGUCUACUAGCUGUGUGUGCCUUUAAGGCGUGCGUAGCGAAGCUAACGCGCUAAGUAGACCGCCUGGGGAGUACGGCCGCAAGGUUAAAACUCAAAUGAAUUGACGGGGGCCCGCACAAGCGGUGGAGCAUGUGGUUUAAUUCGAUGCAACGCGAAGAACCUUACCUACACUUGACAUGCUGAGAAGUUACUAGAGAUAGUUUCGUGCCUUCGGGAACUCAGACACAGGUGCUGCAUGGCUGUCGUCAGCUC
rnacentral:rRNA from 1 species